AGGCUUAACACAUGCAWGUCGAGCGGGCACUUCGGUGUCAGCGGCGGACGGGUGAGUAACGCGUGGGAACGUGCCUUCUGGUUCGGAAUAACUCAGGGAAACUUGAGCUAAUACCGGAUACGCCCUUAUGGGGRAAGGUUUACUGCCGGAAGAUCGGCCCGCGUCUGAUUAGCUAGUUGGUGGGGUAACGGCCUACCAAGGCGACGAUCAGUAGCUGGUCUGAGAGGAUGAUCAGCCACACUGGGACUGAGACACGGCCCASACUCCUACGGGAGGCAGCAGUGGGAAUAUUGGACAAUGGGGGCAACCCUGAUCCAGCCAUGCCGCGUGAGUGAUGACGGCCUUAGGGUUGUAAAGCUCUUUUCUCCGGGACGAUAAUGACGGUACCGGAGGAAUAAGCCCCGGCUAACUUCGUGCCAGCAGCCGCGGUAAUACGAAGGGGGCUAGCGUUGCUCGGAAUCACUGGGCGUAAAGGGCGCGUAGGCGGCUGAUUUAGUCGAGGGUGAAAGCCCGUGGCUCAACCACGGAAUGGCCUUCGAUACUGGUUGGCUUGAGACCGGAAGAGGACAGCGGAACUGCGAGUGUAGAGGUGAAAUUCGUAGAUAUUCGCAAGAACACCAGUGGCGAAGGCGGCUGUCUGGUCCGGUUCUGACGCUGAGGCGCGAAAGCGUGRGAGCAAACAGGAUUAGAUACCCUGGUAGUCAAUCACUAGUGAA
rnacentral:rRNA from 1 species